rnacentral:rRNA from 1 species
UCAGUCCUACGGGAGGCAGCAGUGAGGAAUAUUGGUCAAUGGGCGCAAGCCUGAACCAGCCAAGUCGCGUGAGGGAUGACGGUCCUAUGGAUUGUAAACCUCUUUUGUCGGGGAGCAAGGCCCGCCACGUGUGGCGGGAAGGAGAGUACCCGAAGAAAAAGCAUCGGCUAACUCCGUGCCAGCAGCCGCGGUAAUACGGAGGAUGCGAGCGUUAUCCGGAUUUAUUGGGUUUAAAGGGUGCGUAGGCGGAAGGUUAAGGCAGCGGUCAAAUGUCGGGGCUCCAAACCGGCCUGCCGUUGAAACUG